rnacentral:rRNA from 1 species
UGUGUGUUAGUGGAAGCGUCUGGAAAGGCGCGCGAUACAGGGUGACAGCCCCGUACACAAAAAUGCACAUACUGUGAGCUCGAUGAGUAGGGCGGGACACGUGGUAUCCUGUCUGAAUAUGGGGGGACCAUCCUCCAAGGCUAAAUACUCCUGACUGACCGAUAGUGAACCAGUACCGUGAGGGAAAGGCGAAAAGAACCCCGGCGAGGGGAGUGAAAAAGAACCUGAAACCGUGUACGUACAAGCAGUGGGAGCCUCUUUAUGGGGUGACUGCGUACCUUUUGUAUAAUGGGUCAGCGACUUAUAUUCUGUAGCAAGGUUAACCGAAUAGGGGAGCCGAAGGGAAACCGAGUCUUAACUGGGCGUUAAGUUGCAGGGUAUAGACCCGAAACCCGGUGAUCUAGCCAUGGGCAGGUUGAAGGUUGGGUAACACUAACUGGAGGACCGAACCGACUAAUGUUGAAAAAUUAGCGGAUGACUUGUGGCUGGGGGUGAAAGGCCAAUCAAACCGGGAGAUAGCUGGUUCUCCCCGAAAGCUAUUUAGGUAGCGCCUCGUGAAUUCAUCUCCGGGGGUAGAGCACUGUUUCGGCAAGGGGGUCAUCCCGACUUACCAACCCGAUGCAAACUGCGAAUACCGGAGAAUGUUAUCACGGGAGACACACGGCGGGUGCUAACGUCCGUCGUGAAGAGGGAAACAACCCAGACCGCCAGCUAAGGUCCCAAAGUCAUGGUUAAGUGGGAAACGAUGUGGGAAGGCCCAGACAGCCAGGAUGUUGGCUUAGAAGCAGCCAUCAUUUAAAGAAAGCGUAAUAGCUCACUGGUCGAGUCGGCCUGCGCGGAAGAUGUAACGGGGCUAAACCAUGCACCGAAGCUGCGGCAGCGACGCUUAUGCGUUGUUGGGUAGGGGAGCGUUCUGUAAGCCUGUGAAGGUGUGCUGUGAGGCAUGCUGGAGGUAUCAGAAGUGCGAAUG